CAGAAAGUAGUUUAGUUGAAAAUUCCAGCUUUGGGAGUUGGCGAUGGAGGUUCGAUUCCUUUCUUUCUGA
rnacentral:tRNA from 1 species